rnacentral:rRNA from 1 species
GACAGAGGUGCCAAGCGUUAGGCGGAAUCACUGGGCUUAAAGCGUGUGUAGGCGGAAGGGUAAGUACCUUGUGAAAUCCCUCGGCUUAACCGGGGAACUGCGUCUGAUACUGGAUGGCUUGAGUUCGGGAGAGGGAUGCGGAAUUCCAGGUGUAGCGGUGAAAUGCGUAGAUAUCUGGAGGAACACCGGUGGCGAAGGCGGCAUCCUGGACCGACACUGACGCUGAGGAGCGAAAGCCAGGGGAGCAAACGGG